UCUCUUGGCCAUUAUAUCUGAGACCUUUGUUCGUCUUCUCUGUUCUUCCAUAGCUCAGGAUCUGAUCAAGUUGUUUUGUUCCAUCGAACA
rnacentral:sRNA from 1 species